UCUCCUCUCCCGAACCGGGCAGAGUUAGGGGUUUUUAUACCCUACAGGGGUUUUGAAAACUGUCCAAUAGUAACGGUCAGGGGAAAAGUGACCUAUGGAUAUAUAGGGAGAUAAACAGGGUCCGAAAGGCAGAAGAGAGGGGCUUCUAAAGCCUUAGUCAUGCUGACUUUGGUAUUUCCUAGCUCAGGCCUCUGACCGCCAAGGAGGCCGUGCAGGCCUUGUGCCUGCUACAACAAAGUGUUACAACCAAAGAGCUUGCAAGCUAGCUGCUCCUACUCUGGCUAAACAAUAUGAAAUAAAUAAUAUCGACAGAGGGUCCACACCACGAAGGCAAAAACAGAUAAGCGGCAUUACUCCAGGAGGUACAUUUAGCCUGAGAGUUCAAAAGUCAAGAGAGAGAAGAGGAAAAAGGAAACAGCAGAGGGAGGAGACCCAGACACACUUCAGCACAGCUUCCCUAAGAAACUAAGCUUUAGUGUGACAGGAUUCUUCUGUGCCUGCAGCCAAGUGCAUGCAUCCGCACACUGGACUUUCACAGCGGGACACAGCUACUAAUGAUGACAGCCAGCAGUGAAUCCAACCUCAGUUCAAUCUGAAGAGCAGUUCAGUUCUUCAGUGGAACUGAAGAACAAAGAGUUUAUGCUGAGCAUCUAGGCAAGUUUCGCUUCCUGGUGCUGGGCCCACAGGAAGGCAGAGAGGAGAGCACAGAGUCGGCAUGCAGAAACACAACAGUGGAGGCAGAGAAUGAGCACCAUUGUCUCAUCAGCUGAUUAUAGACUAUGUGAUGCACAGGCUAGGCUGUGAACUAAGCUUAGCAACAGCAUCACUGAAAGAGAUACAAUUUAGCUUACCAACAAAUAAUAAAAAGCAAGGGUAUAGCAACAGGAUCACUAUGCUAGCAAACAAGACCAAAAAAAUCAUCAAUAAAGGUAAAUGCAAAGAAAAA